GAUGAACGCUAGCUACAGGCUUAACACGUGCAAGUCGGGGGUCAGCAUGAACAAAGCUUGCUUUGUUUGAUGGCGACCGGCGCACGGGUGAGUAACGCGUAUCCGACCUGCCCAUGACUCGGGCACAGCCGCUCGAAAGAGCGAUUGAUUCCCGAUAUGUCUUUGGAGUAUAUUCUUAGAUGAAAGAUUUAUCGGUCAUGGAUGGGGAUGCGUAGGAUUAGGUAGUAGGCGGGGUAACGGCCCACCUAGCCGACGAUCCUUAGGGGUUCUGAGAGGAAGGUCCCCCACACUGGUACUGAGACACGGACCAG
rnacentral:rRNA from 1 species